rnacentral:rRNA from 2 species
UUAAAUUGAAGAGUUUGAUCAUGGCUCAGAUUGAACGCUGGCGGCAGGCCUAACACAUGCAAGUCGAACGGUAACAGGAAGCAGCUUGCUGCUUCGCUGACGAGUGGCGGACGGGUGAGUAAUGUCUGGGAAACUGCCUGAUGGAGGGGGGUAACUACUGGAAACGGUAGCU